GGAUGUAGCUCAGUGGUAGAGCACUUGCCUAGCAUGCCCAAGGCCUUGGGUUCAGUCCCCAGCACUG
rnacentral:tRNA from 1 species